AAAAUGGUGUCCAGUUAACAUUAGUUUUCUUUGCAUGUAUUCAAGAUAUUUAUCAUGAGGAACAAUAAGUUUUCCAGCGUGAAGCUGAUAAAUAUGCAGCGACGGCGGUGACGAAAAUAUUAAUCGAGCUGAAGCCUUGCAAUCUGAUUAUGUAUUUGACUAAACUUCAGGGUACGUUUAUAUAUACCUUUAUCUCUAUCUCUAUUGCAUUGGACUACAAUAAACGAGCUCAACCUUUUUCACUUGAGUUAAUGACGACUGAUUACCACUGCCUGGUCGAUGCUCCCUUCCAUUUGAACUUAAUCGUUCCAAAGGAAACUCUACCACAGAGCCUUAAAUUUCCCUACACACCCUUCUGCUACUAACUUAUACAAGAAACAAUCUCAGGUUCUUUUCUUUGUGUCUUCCAUAUGCACUACUGUGUUUAGCUAAGACAGUAUCUCCACUUUAUUACACAGCACAAGCAACAGGGAUCGAUAGGCAUUGGCAUAUACAUAUACGGUGCUUUGACUGCUGUCCCCCUAACUAGCUUAGUUAAGGAAUGAUAAGUUGGCUGUUUGUUGGAUAUAAUAUGGUAUCCUCUUUGAUCUAAUGUGCUCGAGUUGAUAUGGUGUACUAGGUAAAUGUCCGAGAAUGAUCCACUUGGGAUUAUCCAAGAAAAUCAAGAAUGUGGCGCCAAAAAAUGUUCUUGAGAAAGCAGAAGAGGCAAUGGAUUAUCAGUUGGUGGAUGGAUCCUGGUUAAUGCUGCUUCCACUUCAUAUAAGCCACACCAUUGACUUGAGCAUCCUGACAUGGAAUCUUUGGCAGAUGACGAAUGACACUCAAAUUCAAACAUAGAUAGGAGGUAAAUGAAAUACUGUCCCCAGAGGCAGCUGAAGCUGCAUAUCGCAAUGGCAGGUGGACGAAUCAGAUUCAGAUGUUUGCCAAAAAUGGUUGCUCAAACGCUAGCCCUUUGUUCAGCUCUUUUGCUCAGUUGGCGAGUGGGUUGAUUGCCUCAUCUGCCUGUGAGGUGUGAGCUGGCAACACUGAGCAAAACACAGAAUAUGAAGCGCAUUACAUUAUCCAUUGAAGGCGCUUCCUUUCUCCGUGUUCUACAGCUAUUGAUGAUAGCAAUACUGGAACCAAAGAGGGAACAAAACAUGAAGAACAAACAUUAUGAAAAAACUAAACGUUGUAUUAGAGGCUUAGAGCUCCUUCGGCAAGAACAUAGCCAGUGUAUCAGUAUGACUGAGUUGCAGCUGGAUCAUAAUGCAGCUACUACAACCAUAUCCAAUGUAAACCCCGGUGAUCAUGCCCUUGGAGUCUCUUCUGUUCCCCCUCUUUCUUUGGGAACUCAGAGGUUUCUAUUGAAAUUUUCUUUGUUCUAAGUGAGAAAAUUCGAACUCCAUCAACAGCAGGAUCAUGCGAGUGUGAUAGGCAGAGAAGUAAGGAAUUCCGCUUAUAGUUCAUCAUCUGCAACGCUGACCUUAUGUGUUGGAAGAUUCAUAGAACCAGUUACCUAUGUGAUCCCCAGAAGAUAUGAAAGGACGUCUGAUGUGCAGUUUGAAGUUGAGGAAUGUAUUGAUGUUGGUGCUGUUACAAGAGAAUGAAAUCAGUUAAUUGUUAAAUAAUUACAGUUGUUUUACGUAAACAGUUUGAUAGUUUAAUUGUUUUAAAUAAAAAAUGAUUUAAAUAUA